GCUACAACUUUCAAGCAACGACGACAGGACUCCAUAUUGCACUUAAAUUUAUACCAAAGGCGAAGAUCGAUCAUAAAGUGAAGCUACAACUUUCAAGCAACGACGACAGGACUCCAUAUUGCACUUAAAUUUAUACCAAAGGCGAAGGAAUGUCGAACUGUGUCGUUCACGAUUCAAUGACGCAUAUGAAAUUACAGAUCGAUCAUAAAGUGAAGCUACAACUUUCAAGCAACGACGACAGGACUCCAUAUUGCACUUAAAUUUAUACCAAAGGCGAAGAUCGAUCAUAAAGUGAAGCUACAACUUUCAAGCAACGACGACAGGACUCCAUAUUGCACUUAAAUUUAUACCAAAGGCGAAGGAAUGUCGAACUGUGUCGUUCACGAUUCAAUGACGUAUAUGAAAUUACAGAUCGAUCAUAAAGUGAAGCUACAACUUUCAAGCAACGACGACAGGACUCCAUAUUGCACUUAAAUUUAUACCAAAGGCGAAGGAAUGUCGAACUGUGUCGUUCACGAUUCAAUGCGGACG
rnacentral:lncRNA from 1 species